CCUACGGGAGGCAGCAGUAGGGAAUCUUCCACAAUGGACGAAAGUCUGAUGGAGCAAUGCCGCGUGGAUGAAGAAGGUCUUCUGAUCGUAAAACCCUGUUUUUAGAGAAGAAAGCGCGUGAGAGUAACUGUUCACGUUUCGACGGUAUCUAACCAGAAAGCCACGGCUAACUACGUGCCAGCAGCCGCGGUAAUACGUAGGUGGCAAGCGUUAUCCGGAUUUAUUGGGCGUAAAGGGAACGGAGGCGGUCUUUUAAGUCUGAUGUGAAAGCCCUCGGCUUAACCGGAGUAGUGCAUCGGAUACUGGGAGACUUGAGUGCAGAAGAGGAGAGUGGAACGUAAUGUGUAGCGGUGAAAUGCGUAGAUAUAUGGAAGAACACCAGUGGCGAAGGCGGCUCUCUAGUCUGUAACUGACGCUGAGGUACGAAAGCGUGGGUAGCAAACAGGAUUAGAUACCCUUGUAGUC
rnacentral:rRNA from 1 species